rnacentral:rRNA from 1 species
GACGAACGCUGGCGGCGUGCCUAACACAUGCAAGUCGAACGGGGUGAAGAGCUUCGGCUUUUCACUUAGUGGCGAACGGGUGAGUAACGCGUGAGAAACCUGCCUUUCAGUGGGGGACAACAGUUGGAAACGACUGCUAAUACCGCAUAACAUACACGGACCGCAUGAUCUGUGUAUCAAAGCUUUAUGUGCUGAAAGAUGGUCUCGCGUCUGAUUAGCUAGUUGGUGAGGUAACGGCUCACCAAGGCGACGAUCAGUAGCCGGUCUGAGAGGAUGAACGGCCACAUUGGGACUGAGAGUACCGGCCAGACC